rnacentral:rRNA from 1 species
UACGAAGGACCCGAGCGUUAUCCGGAUUUAUUGGGUUUAAAGGGUGCGUAGGCGGAUUUACAAGUCAGUGGUGAAAUCUCCCAGCUUAACUGGGAAACUGCCAUUGAAACUGUUUAUCUUGAGUACAUUUGAGGCGGGCGGAAUGUGUCAUGUAGAGGUGAAAUUCUUAGAUAUGACACAGAACACCAAUUGCGGAGGCAGCUCGCUAAACUGUAACUGACGCUGAGGCACGAAAGCGUGGGGAUCAAACAGG